CCUACGGGAGGCAGCAGUGAGGAAUAUUGGUCAAUGGGCGCAAGCCUGACCCAGCCAAGUAGCGUGAAGGAUGACUGCCCUACGGGUUGUAACCUUCUUUUAUAAAGGAGUAAAAUGAGGCACGUAUGCCUUUUUGUAUGUACUUUAUGAAUAAGGAUCGGCUAACUCCGUGCCAGCCGCCGCGGUAAUACGGAGGAUCCGAGCGUUAUCCGGAUUUAUUGGGUUUAAAGGGAGCGUAGAUGGGUUGUUAAGUCAGUUGUGAAAGUUUGCGGCUCAACCGUAAAAUUGCAAUUGAUACUGGCAGUCUUGAGUGCAGUUGAGGUAGGCGGAAUUCGUGGUGUAGCGGUGAAAUGCUUAGAUAUCACGAAGAACUCCGAUUGCGAAGGCAGCUUACUAAACUGCAACUGACAUUGAUGCUCGAAAGUGUGGGUAUCAAACAGGAUUAGAUACCCUUGUAGUC
rnacentral:rRNA from 1 species